rnacentral:rRNA from 1 species
AUACGUAGGGGGCGAGCGUUGUCCGGAAUGAUUGGGCGUAAAGGGCGCGUAGGCGGCGCGGUAAGUCUGGAGUGAAAGUCCUGCUUUCAAGGUGGGAAUUGCUUUGGAUACUGCCGCGCUUGAGUGCAGGAGAGGUUAUCGGAAUUCCCGGUGUAGCGGUGAAAUGCGUAGAGAUCGGGAGGAACACCAGUGGCGAAGGCGGGUAACUGGACAGUAACUGGCGCUGAGGCGCGAAGGCGUGGGGAGCAAAAAGGAUUAGAUACCCUGGUACUCCACGCCGUAAACGAUGAAUACUAGGUGUAGGGGGUAUCGACUCCCUCUGUGCCGCAGUUAACACAAGAAGUAUUCCGCCUGGGGAGUUCGGCCGCAAGGUUGAAACUCAAAGGAAUUGACGGGG